rnacentral:tRNA from 4 species
UGCAAUGUAUUUUAUUUUAAAAUAUUUACUUUACACGUAAAAGAACCAUUUGAGUGGCUUUGUUA